rnacentral:rRNA from 1 species
UGCAAGUCGAGGGGCAGCAGGUUUGUAGCAAUACAGAUGCUGGCGACCGGCAAACGGGUGCGGAACACGUACACAACCUUCCUUUAAGUGGGGGAUAGCCCAGAGAAAUUUGGAUUAAUACCCCUUAAAAUUAUGAGAUGGCAUCAUUUUAUAAUUAAAGCUCCGGCGCUUAGAGAUGGGUGUGCGGCUGAUUAGGUAGUUGGUGAGGGUAACGGCCCACCAAGCCUGCGAUCAGUAACUGGUGUGAGAGCACGACCAGUCACACGGGCACUGAGACACGGGCCCGACUCCUACGGGAGGCAGCAGUAAGGAAUAUUGGUCAAUGGACGCAAGUCUGAACCAGCCAUGCCGCGUGGAGGAUGAAGGUCCUCUGGAUUGUAAACUUCUUUUAUCUGGGAAGAAAUCCAUUUUUUCUAAAGUGGUUGACGGUACCAGACGAAUAAGCACCGGCUAACUCCGUGCCAGCAGCCGCGGUAAUACGGAGGGUGCAAGCGUUAUCCGGAUUCACUGGGUUUAAAGGGUGCGUAGGUGGGCAGGUAAGUCAGUGGUGAAAUCUCCGGGCUUAACCCGGAAACUGCCAUUGAUACUAUCUGUCUUGAAUGCCGUGGAGGUGAGCGGAAUAUGUCAUGUAGCGGUGAAAUGCUUAGAUAUGACAUAGAACACCAAUUGCGAAGGCAGCUCACUACACGAAUAUUGACACUGAGGCACGAAAGCGUGGGGAUCAAACAGGAUUAGAUACCCUGGUAGUCCACGCCCUAAACGAUGGAUACUCGACAUACGCGAUACACAGUGUGUGUCUGAGCGAAAGCAUUAAGUAUCCCACCUGG